AUGGCGUGGUCCAUCGCAGCGAACACAGGCGGCAGCUCACAGCAGACGGACGGAGAGGGGGCACCGCGCCCGUCAGAGGACGCCGCGGCGGCGUGGGGGUCCGGGCGCGCCAGGCCAACUUCCGAUGCCUGGGGCACAGGCACCAGGUCGCCGGUGGACGACGCGGUCGUCGAAACCUGGGGAACCAGGCCGUCGACGGAUGCCCGGUUCACGGACAGCUGGGCCAGCUUGGUGACAACAGAGCCGCGGGUCACCGGCGGCACUUGGGGCCCCUGGUCAUCAGCGGCACAGGGCGCUGGGUCCUGGCGCAGCUGGCCAUCGGAGGCGGCGCGGGAGAACUGGAGCGGCUGGGCGCCGGAAAGGCGUCCCUCCACGGUUCCGUGGCCGUCGGAGCACGCGGUGAUCACGAACGUGACUGUGGAGGAUGCCCGUGCCCUCCACUGCGGCGUCUGCGGCCUCCCACUCAAGCCGCCAAUCUUCGAGUGUGACCUGGGGCAGGCGGUGUGCUCGGCGUGCCGCGGCCCUGGCUACCGCCGGUGCCGCGCCAUGGAGAACCUGGUGGCGACCGUCCGCGUGCCGUGCCCCAACGCCGCUCACGGCUGCGACGCCACGCCGGCCUACUACGACAUGCAUGCACACGGACUGGCGUGCGCGCACGCGCCGGGCACGCGCUGCCCCGCGGACGCCUGCGAAUUCGUCGGCUCAAUGGCAGCGCUCCUGGACCACUUCACCGCCGUGCACGGAUGGACGCUCACAACCGAGGACGGCGUCGGGAAGAGCUUCGACGUCGACCUCCAGGACGGCUUCAACGUCGUCACCACGGCCGUCCGUGACGGCGGCAACCAGCUCUUGCUCCUGCUAAACGUUGUGAGCCACCCGUUUGGUCGCACCAUCGCUGCGGUCUGCAUUAGUCCUUACCCCGCUGCCGUCGAGUCAUGGUCGUCGGCUGCUGCAUCCAAGACGGUGCAACUCGAGCUCCGCUACUCGGCAGCUAGCCAUUACCAAGAAUCUGAAUUCAAUGUUCCUUUCGCCGAUAUCGCCGAUGGAUUCCCAGACGUCAGCGAGUUGGCCCAGUUCGUCGUGCCCAAGUCUGUUCAUUCAGACGACCAUGCUACUACGCUGGUCUCGGCCUAUAUUACCAUCAAAUAG
rnacentral:rRNA from 1 species